rnacentral:misc_RNA from 1 species
ACAAACUUGGUCAUUUAGAGGAAGUAAAAGUCGUAACAAGGUUUCCGUAGGUGAACCUGCGGAAGGAUCAUUAUCGAAUUGUAAGGAUUAGGCUGUCGCUGGCUCUCUCUGGGAGCAUGUGCACGCCGCAUCCAAACUCUUCAAUCUAACUACCUGUGCACCUUCUGUGGACUGUGGUCAGAUAACUUGUCGAGCUAACACUCGGUCUUAUGGAUUGCACCUAACCGUGCUUUCCAUUGCAUCUGUCCACGGUUCAUGUCUUACUACACACUAUUCAUUUACUAGAAUGUCUAACAGUUGGGACUCGUGCCCUUCUUAAAUUUAUAUACAACUUUCAACAACGGAUCUCUUGGCUCUCGCAUCGAUGAAGAACGCAGC